CUGACUUCAGCAGCACAUAUACUAAAAUUGGAACAAUCCCGAGAAGAUUAGCAUGCCCCCUGCACAAGGAUGACAUGCAAAUUAUUUUUAGUAGCUUUAUCACUUU
ensembl:snRNA U6 U6 spliceosomal RNA